GACAUUCGCCCGCGGUUCGUCCGCGGGAGGAAAGUCCGGACACCACAGAGCGGGAUUCCGUUUGAAAGGACGGGAUACGCGUCCGAAAGGGCGCGUGUACGGAUAGUGCAGCAGAAAACAAACCGCCGCGAAAGCGGUAAGGGUGAAAAGGCGGGGUAAGAGCCCACCGCCGCGCGGAGCAAUUUGCGCGGGCACUGAAAACCCAAUCCGGUGCAAGACAACAUAGGAUGCGGAAUUGCUCGUUCUAACGCAUUGGGUAUGUCGCACCUCCGCAAGGAGGGUCUCCGAAAGGGGGCAGAUAAAUGAAUGUCGGUUCGCAAGAACUACAAAAUCCGGCUUAUAGCCG
rnacentral:RNase_P_RNA from 1 species